GCGCACGUAGCUCAAUGGUGGAGCAAGGCCCUUAUAAGACCGAGGUUGCAGGUUCGAAUCCUGCCGUGCGCA
rnacentral:tRNA from 1 species